UAGCCUUGACAUUGAAAGAACACACUAGAGAUAGAGUGGUGCCCUUCGGGGAGCUUGAAAACAGGUGCUGCACGGCUGUCGUCAGCUCGUGUCGUGAGAUGUUGGGUUAAGUCCCGCAACGAGCGCAACCCUCGUCCUUAGUUGCCAGCAGGUUAAGCUGGGCACUCUAAGGAGACUGCCUUCGCAAGGAGGAGGAAGGUGAGGACGACGUCAAGUCAUCAUGGCCCUUAUGGCUAGGGCUACACACGUGCUACAAUGGGGCGUACAGAGAGUUGCGAUACCGCGAGGUGGAGCCAAUCUCAUAAAGCGUCUCUCAGUUCGGAUUGUUCUCUGCAACUCGAGAGCAUGAAGC
rnacentral:rRNA from 1 species